rnacentral:rRNA from 1 species
ACGUAGGGGGCUAGCGUUAUCCGGAAUUACUGGGCGUAAAGGGUGCGUAGGCGGUCUUUCAAGCCAGAAGUGAAAGGCUACGGCUCAACCGUAGUAAGCUUUUGGAACUGUAGGACUUGAGUGCAGGAGAGGAGAGUGGAAUUCCUAGUGUAGCGGUGAAAUGCGUAGAUAUUAGGAGGAACACCAGUAGCGAAGGCGGCUCUCUGGACUGUAACUGACGCUGAGGCACGAAAGCGUGGGGAGCAAACAGGAUUAGAUACCCUGGUAGUCCACGCCGUAAACGAUGAGUACUAGGUGUCGGGGGUUACCCCCCUCGGUGCCGCAGCUAACGCAUUAAGUACUCCGCCUGGGAAGUACGCUCGCAAGAGUG